rnacentral:lncRNA from 1 species
GGGCAAAGUGAAUAUGUGGCUGUUUCACGUCUAACCUUACAUGUGAAACCAUCCAAAACUACGUAGUUUUGUUAGAAUUCCUUCCAAACUUCAUCUCGCUCCAUCAGGUCACGUCAAAAUUGGGUUUCUGCUCUCCUUCUCAUGCUCUGCCCAAUCGAUCUUCAUCAGGUAAACCCUAACUCUUAAAGGCACAGAUCUCUCCGCUAUCAUCGUUGAUGCACUUCAGUAUCUCGAUGGAAUCAAACAGGUGUUCAGAGCUGAUAUACAUCCAGGUGCAAGAGGCUAUGAUGAGUUAAGUCGCGAUCGACUCUUCAUUUGUCUGCAAUAUUUUGUAUGAGCCGUAACUCUUAUCACUUGAAUCUUCAUUGCAGUCUCAACUUCGUGAAUCAGAAGCCAACAAGGAAUCAAUUGGAUAUAGACAAUUGGAGAACCAACUGGAGCAAAAGUCAACAGAACGGACCCAACUAAGGAAAGACACUUGCAGCAACAAGCUGCUGAUUUAUCAUGAUAUUAUCUCGUGCGGUUCACUCAGAGAGAAUUUAAUGUAACAAUUUAGUGACUAUGUAUUCUAUUUGUAAUUGUUACUAGUAAUUAAUGUAAUUAUACAGUUUGUAAGUUCGUUUGACAUGUUUUAUAAUAACUUAAUGAAUUUUGACAUGUUUAAUAU